AGCGUCGAUAAUAGUUGGUAUCGUGUUAAUAUUGAAUAGUGACGUAGACAUAAUGAAGACGUAGUGACGUGGCAUAGUGAAAUAGAUUAUUAGUUGCAAAGAUUUUUGGUAUAGUGUUGUCUCACUUCGACUUCGUCUGAAUCUUGAAAAAGCAAACUUCGACUGCCUUGGGAUUGAGACAGACUCCUGUUAAUCUGAAUAAGGCAAUUUUUCUCGUGCUUCUCUCGUUAUUCAAUCAGUCAUCUCAUCUGCUAUUGCCUGGAUACUUGGUUAGUCGAGAAAUUCCGAAUAAAUUCUGGGAUUUUAUAAGACUUACUAUGCAAGAAUCGACUAAUAUAAAGUUAAUGCCAAAACGAAAUGGAAGCAGACUUCCGUAACCAUCUGCUGGUGUUAUUCUAGUUGCAUCAAGGAUAAAGGUGGAUCGGGGGAUGCACUGAGCUAUACUGGACGAAUACGACGGAUUGUUGGUUCUUUCAUAACCAAAUGUAUAUACUGCAAGCUGCUGUCCGAGGAACCUGACCAGAUAAGUUCCUUUAGUAUCUGUUGGUCCUGAAAUCCCCAAAUUUCAAGCUUCGACUUGUUUGCUCUUCCCAAGCAGUUCGGAAAGUUUCUUCUGAAAAUCCAGUCCAGAAGGUCCCAAGUAAUCGAAUUGAACAUGGAGUUCAGGAGUUAUCUGGGGUCAAGAUAUUUUGCUUACAUGUUUUAUGUCAAUACCUUAAAUUCAAAGUGUACAUCAUCGAUAGAGUUGAAAAUCGUAUGGAGAGAUUAAUAGCUUUUAUAAGGAAAACUAUAUUUAGCAGCAAUGCCAUUCAAAGCGAACUUUGUAGGGAUGCAGAUAAAUCUGAUAUAGUUCCCGAAAGAAUUUGAGGCCAUCCUCCGAGACUAAAGGACUUCUGCACAAGCCAGGCUGUCAUGGAUGAUGCACUGGUGCUCCCCCAAUCUGCUCACUUCAUGCGUGUGACGUCUAUAACCGAGUCGACUACCCGAGUGGCUGUCAUCGUCACCAAUAAUCAACAUGCGCGAUGAUUCCCUGUAGUGCUUCUUGCAGCAUACAGUGCACCCACGAAUUUGGACAAGGCUCUCUGCAUUGGAAAGCGUACUUUAUGAAAGUACUCCAGAAGUGACCACGCAAGGCUCUCUUCUAAAUUCUGUCAUUUUUAAAAUGUGACUGUCGGAAGAUUAUGAACAGUUUGGCAACUUGUGUAAUGAGAAUUUCUCAUAUGAGCUAGAAAUUGCAUUUUUCAA